AGUAGAACCUAGAAAC
rnacentral:sRNA from 1 species